ensembl:lncRNA
UGAGCACUACCAGAGUGAGGCUACAUAGCUGUAAACAAAACCCUUUCUUGUUUAAAUUGGCGUGAGUUUAAGCACUCACAGUUCACGGAAUUGAUCAUCUUUUACAGGAGUACAGAGAUGCUCUCUAAAAAAGCAACCUGAUAGCAAGUUUUUUUAAUUAUUUGAGUGGAGAGAAGGGGGAAAGAUGAGAACCCAGACAAGGGGAAAGCUUGUCACAGCCUGCUCUAGGAGAAUUUGGGGCAACAAGGAGAAACAGGGGCAGGUUCAUGACUGGCUGGAUUCCUCCACUGCUCCAGUUAAUUCAGAGAAGCACUCAAACUAACAGCCUUUGCCCAAACACACUGGAGAGGUGCAACAUGCUGCAUUCCCAAACACUGAAUUUGAGCCUCACUCAUACAGUCCUUCGAGUAAUACACACAGAAGUCGACUCUUUGAAACAAACC